rnacentral:rRNA from 1 species
AUUGAACGCUGGCGGCAUGCCUUACACAUGCAAGUCGAACGGCAGCACGGGAGCAAUCCUGGUGGCGAGUGGCGAACGGGUGAGUAAUACAUCGGAACGUGCCCAGUAGUGGGGGAUAGCCCGGCGAAAGCCGGAUUAAUACCGCAUACGACCUACGGGUGAAAGCGGGGGAUCGCAAGACCUCGCGCUAUUGGAGCGGCCGAUGGCAGAUUAGCUUGUUGGUGGGGUAAAGGCCUACCAAGGCAACGAUCUGUAGCUGGUCUGAGAGGACGACCAGCCACACUGGGACUGAGACACGGCCCAGACUCCUACGGGAGGCAGCAGUGGGGAAUUUUGGACAAUGGGCGCAAGCCUGAUCCAGCCAUGCCGCGUGUGGGAAGAAGGCCUUCGGGUUGUAAACCACUUUUGUCAGGGAAGAAACGGCUUAAUUUAAUAAAUUGAGCUAAUGACGGUACCUGAAGAAUAAGCACCGGCUAACUACGUGCCAGCAGCCGCCGUAA